rnacentral:lncRNA from 1 species
GGUGUACUGAUUUUCAUAUACAUGCAUGUGAAAAAUGUCACUUUCUUUUGUUACAUAUGUAAUUGUUUGUGUAAUCGCUACAUAUGUAACUUAUUUUAAUGUUACAUAUGUCAGUGUUUAUGUUAUGUGAUAGAAAGCUGAUUAAUGUUACUCUUUUUCAGUUUAAUAUGACAUGUGUAGCUGUUUUUGUAAUGCUAUAUAUGUAACUAUUUUUGUAAUGCUACAUAUGUAACUGUUUUUUGUAAUGCUACAUAUGUAACUGUUUUUUGUAAUGCUACAUAUGUAACUGUUUUUGCUAUUUGGCGUGUGUAACUUUUUUAAUGCAAUGCUAUAUGUGUAGCUGUUUUUGUAAUGCUACAUGUGUAACUGUUUUUGCAAUGUUACAUAUGUAACUGUUUUUGCAAUGUUACAUAAUGUAACUGUUUUUGCAAUGUUACAUAUGUAACUGUUUUUGCAAUGUUACAUAUGUAACUGCUUAGAUGUAAGAUUACAUAUAUAUGCAAUUAUUAUAUUACAUAGAUGUGUAUGUAACAACAGUUUUUGAAAUUAUUAAAUGUUUUUCUAUCUCACUUUUG